AUAUUUGUAUCUACUGAUUUUUGUAUAUAGUUAGCCACGAAUAAAAUAGGAAGUUAAACGAAGAAUAGAGAUGACAAUUGACUGACGUAUUUGAUUUGUUUAAAUCAAAUUUAAAAUUGCGGUAAAAUUUUUUUACAAAAUUUGAUAAAGAAAAAUUUAUCAGAAGACACUCACCAAGCCUAAUGAUCAACGAAGGAUAUCUCUGGUUGAAAUUCUAAUAUUAGCGCACUACAUUCUCCAGUCGAUACUCUAGAUAUCCACCACUACCACAGAUUUCUUGCGAUGGCACGCGACCAUGUCUGUACGCGUGUGUAAAUGUAAAAGCAUCACGACGAAACACAACGAUGCUGCCAAAAUACAAGCACCUCACCUUUCGAGAUAUGCGAUUCUGCUAAUCCGUCAGGAACGUUUCGUUACUAAAUCGCGUCCAGCAUGGAGCGAACUGUUUCUAGAUU